rnacentral:rRNA from 1 species
CAGAACGAACGCUGGCGGCAUGCCGAACACAUGCAAGUCGAACGGGAUCCUAGCUUGCUAGGUGAGAGUGGCGGACGGGUGAGUAACACGUGGGAAUCUGCCUUUGGUUCGGGAUAACCGCGGGAAACUGCGGCUAAUACCGAAUGCCCUCGAGAGAGGAAAGAUUUAUCGCCAGAAGAGGGGCCCGCGUCCGAUUAGGUAGUUGGUGAGGUAAUGGCUCACCAAGCCGACGAUCGGUAGCUGGUCUGAGAGGAUGAUCAGCCACACUGGGACUGAGAUACGGCCCAGACUCCUACGGGAGGCAGCAGUGGGGAAUAUUGGACAAUGGGCGAAAGCCUGAUCCAGCCAUGCCGCGUGAGUGAUGAAGGCCCUAGGGUUGUAAAGCUCUUUCAACGGUGAAGAUAAUGACGGUAACCGUAGAAGAAGCCCCGGCUAACUUCGUG